rnacentral:rRNA from 1 species
UACGGAGGGUGCAAGCGUUAUCCGGAUUCACUGGGUUUAAAGGGUGCGUAGGCGGGUAAGUAAGUCAGUGGUGAAAUCUUCAAGCUUAACUUGGAAACUGCCAUUGAUACUAUUUAUCUUGAAUGUUCUGGAGGUCAGCGGAAUAUGUCAUGUAGCGGUGAAAUGCUUAGAUAUGACAUAGAACACCUAUUGCGAAGGCAGCUGACUACGGAAAUAUUGACGCUGAGGCACGAAAGCGUGGGGAUCAAAC